GCGGGCGGACACCGGGCCCAGCCUCGGCGGGGACGGGCGCGGCCGCGUCCCGUGGAACCUGAGAAGGCUGGUGAUGGUGAUUUUCUCAGGUAUGGUGAUGGGACAUGAGCACCAGCAGAAGAGUACAUCCUUCCAUGGCUCCAUGCAAAUUGAAGGAGAGGACAAGGCACUGUUGAUACUGCAGUAAGAAGUACUUGGAUUAAGAAUGACGUCUUCUUCUGACACAUGCAAAUGGUUUCCGAUUUUUUUUUGUUUAAGGAUAGGUCACUAGAAGAAUAAACAAAUUGCAAAAUUCCCUCCUGUAAAUUAAAUUUUAAUGACUUGUAGAGAUUCUUAGAAGCAUUCCCUUGGAAGGCACAGAUGUGGUUGGUUGUAACUGUGUCAAAUUACUGGUUUAAGGUAUUCAACAAAAUAUUUAUGCCAAAAACCUGCAAGGGGCUAGACAAAUUUCCACUCCACCUUUUAAAGAUACUAGAAAGAACAAUUUCCAGUACUGAGCAUAAACUGAGCUAAACUUUAAUGGGAAAUAAAAUG